GAACACCCUCAUAGAGGCAAAGGGGACGGGAAAGAGUGGAUUGGAUGGGGGUGUUGUAGAGGGGUAACCAGGAAGGGAGAUAGCAUAUGAGAUAUAAAUGAAUGAAAGGAUUAAUAAAAAAAAUUUUUAAAUAAAAGAAAAAGUAGAAAAGAAGUUGUAAUGUUAAAUGGAUUUGGAAGUUUGAUUUUACACCUAUCAUUGUAUUUUAGCUUAAGCCAUGUUAAAUAAGUAAUUUCUUCUAAAAAUGUACAUUUCCAGUUAGGGUGAAUGUCUUAGUAACUACUGUACUAAACAAACUAUACUUCACAUAAUAUUCUGACAGUUUGUAUAUUUUAAACCAAAUCAAUAUAUAUUCAAUAAUUUCUAGGUCCUUUCAUAUGAGAUUCACAUAUAUGUGAUUCAUAUGUGAAAAUAUAUAUAUGUAUGUGUGUGUGUGUGUGUGAGAGAGAGAGAGAGAGAGAGAGAGAGAGAGAGAGAGAGAGAUCAUAUAUAUCAGGGUUCCAAAUUAUAAGUUACUUCAACAAUUUUUCUUUACUUUGAAGAAACAACUUUUAUUUAUUUUCUUUAUUAUAUAAUCUAUGUUUUCUCAGGCACAAGUUUCUGCGUACAAAAGAAAAAUUAAGCUAGAAUGCAUCUCUGUCUUACUCCUUUUCUGCCCCAAUGAGGCUUCUUUUGUAUUUUAAGAAAGAAGAACUGAAAUGUAAAUUACCAUCCCAAGCUUUGCUAUGUCUCAGAAUGCAGGAAUUCUGAUGUGUCAGCCGGAAAUGAAAAUAGGGGGCAACGCAAAUGGGGCAAUAGAAAGUUCAGAAAACAGCAUCGCUUCAACCUGCUACUUUCACACUUAUGUAACUGUGAAGUUGCUGCGUAUGUUGGAAAUGCAGUCUUUAGGGAGGUCCGCACCUUUUUUGAUGUUAAGAGAGCAAUAUAACCAAAUAUCCAGCAUACUUUUACGCUCUGACAAGUAAAUUUAAUUCAAAUAAUGUCCAUUCAAACCAGCUCACUCACUGAGUAUAUAAAAUAAGCUAAAAUUAAUGAAGAAGUAAUUUGAGUGGGCAGAGCCUGGUGAGGUCGGGUAACUUCUCAAGUGCUCUCAGUAUUCCCAACCUUCAUGUGGCUUCUGUAUCACAUCUGGCGAUUGUGAUUACAUGCCUCAAAGAGCUCACCAUUGAAUAGCCCUAAGUUAACGUUUAUGUCUCUCGUUUUUAAGGCUUUUUAUUUUUGCACACUUUUUUUUUCUCAUGUAACUGUGUGUUUGUCUGUGCGUGUGUAUUCUGUGUAUGUGAGGGUGCCCAUUUGGACCAGAAGAGGGCACUGGAUCACCCAUGAGUUGAAAUCUCAGACAGUUAUAAGCUGCCGGAUGUAGGUGCUGAGAAUUGAACUCAAGUCCUAUGGGAAAGCAGCAAGUGUUUUAACCUAAACAAUUUCUGUGGGCCUGUGUAUCACAGGCUUUCCACGGAGAUCUCUGGCCCAGCCUGGCAGAAUUCCUGCGAAGGGAAGCGAGAGUGGGCAGGGAAGGAAGUCACUUCCACUGCUUCUGCUGCUACCUUUGGCUCCACCUCCAUCUCUGCCUGCCUUCCCGGUUACUCAGUUACUCUGCACUGCCCUAAGUCUUACAGCUCUUAGGUCAGAAGGUUCGGACGAUGGAAUAGUUCUUGCACGCCUGUAAUUCUUCUGGAUAGGAUUCUUAUAUACCAUUUUGGGCUGGGUAAGGAUUGACAACAGGUGCUUCUCAUUGGUUUGGUCUGAGAGCUUUGGGGAAACCUUAUUUGCAUGUGGGAGGGCUUGAUGUUGCUCCCAGGAGCCAGGGACCUGGGAGGUGUGACGAAUACUUUCUGUCCCAUGCAGGUGGAAAUCACCAUCCACAGGGUCACCAGGGUUCCAGACCUUUGCCCCACCAGGGAGCAGCCUGUCUGUGCACAGCCCAUGGCCCCACAAAUCUCCAGCAUCAAUUUCUCUUGUUUUUGAGGCUCUAUGUAAAAUAACUUUAAGAGAAACUUUAAGGAAACUUCAAGGUCUUUUCUCCUUUGCAUUCUUUCCUGUCUAUGCUUAAAAACUAAAUGUGCCUUGAAUCCCUAGCAGGUGACUAAGGAUUACCUCACUCAGGAACUGUUUUUUAAUCAAUUUAGUACUAGCUAGUGGUAUGUAUAUGCCUAGCCCUAUAAUAGUUUUGUGUCUUUAUAAGAUGUUAUUAUGAAAGUAAAAUUAAAACUAUUGGCAAAAGGAAUAUCUUUGUAGCAUUCUUUAAUAUAAAAAUGGACAUUUUAUUAAAUAUAAUGAUGCUUUUGUGCUCCUGUCUGCUCCAUUUCUAUAGUCUACACUUCUAGAAUGAUUUUUAUACUUUGGGCUAAAAUUUUAAAAGGAAAAACAUCAAAACCUAUAACUAUAUUUUUGUUAUUUUAAACUUUUGUGUUUGGAAAAAUAAGGCAGUUUUAACAGUCUUUGACAAACCAUUGGGUAUUGGAAAGACAUGGAACAUGGGGUCUUUCAUGGCAGUUAUUUACAGUAGCCAAAAAUCGCAAGCUCAUUUCAGAUGUCCACUUUCUAAUUCUCCGUGCUUACUUGGCAAAUAAGGACAUGAUAUAGUCCUUCACUGACAGUUGCUUACAGUUACAAGGCGCAAUGUAAUGUUUUGAUGUACAUUUACAUAGUAGAAUAAUUAACUUUGGUGUUAAUGGUAGUUUCUACCACUUGGCUUGUAGUAGGCAACAGAAUUGUGAUUAGCAGACACUGUGUGUGGUGGUAGGAAAUAUGGAAUGUAGACAGGGUUUAGAGGACUCAAAGUUGCAGUUAGGCAGUUAUGAUAAACUGUAGAAGUCUGUGUACUGCAUAGUGACCAUAGUUAAUGGUAUAUUAUAGAACUCACUGUUGCUAAGACAGCAUACUUUAAAGUGGUCUCAUCAUGAGUUUUCUUUAACAUAAAAUUUUCAAGUGGUGUAAAUAGGUUGACGAAAUGAGAAUACUAAGCAAAGAAAAAUAUUUUUCAACUCACUGUGAUUAGUGUAGCUUUUUGGAAUUUACAUAAAAAUAAAAUACCGUGUGUGUGUGUGUGUGUGUGUGUGUGUGUGUGUGUGUGUGUGUGUGUAAAAUGAUGAACUACUGGCUGCCUUAAUAGAUACUAUAGUCUCACUAUAGAUUUUUUCAGAAAUAAAUAUAAUGACUACCUCUGAGAGAAUAAAACAUUAUUAUUAAUAAUUUACAGAGUCAAUAAAUUUCAGAAUGGCUAAUAGUCUAGUUAUAUUGAAUAGCAUGUCACAGAGUGUCAGUAAAGUAUGGAUAAGGUCAAAAAAGUUGUUCGUUUGGUUAAAGAUGUAGAUGUUUAUUGAUGUCAUAAAUAGGAACUAAAAAUAAAUAGAAAAGCAUUGACAGCCAUUACGUCAGAAUUCAUCUUACAUUACCUAAGCUUUUACUCCCUGCACAACUUUGCAGACCUUCACAACCAAGAGUUAAUAGUCACUUAUGUAUUUAUUUACUAAUUUAUUUGUGUGUAGAGUGUGCACAUUUGAACAUACACACACAUAUGGGGGGCAUCAUAGAUUUUGGAUAUUUUCUUGGGCCACUUUCCACUUUUACGUUUUAAGGCUUUUUAAAAUAGCAUUCAUGUGUUUUCCAGUUUCUCUGUGUGAGUGUUUGCCACAUGUUGACCAGUGCCUGUAGAGGUAUGUGUGUGUGUGUGUGCCACGUGUUUGCCAGUGCCUAUGAAGGGGUGCAUUUGUGUGUGUGUGUGUGUGUGUGUGUGUGUGUGUGUGUGUGUGCACUGUUUUUGCCAGUGCCCAUGGAGGGCAGAAGAGUGUGAUUCCCAUGAAGAUGUGAGCUGCCUGACUUGAGUGCGGGGAGUUAUUGUGAGUCCUUAGGAAAAGCAGCCAAUGCUCUUAACCACUGAGCUAUCUCCCAAACCUAUCUACUUUACCUUCGAAGGAAGAGUCUUUCCCUGAACUUCACAAUCUAGCAUAGCAGUUGAUCAGUGAGCUUUACCUCUUCCACCCCUUAUAAAUGCAUUGAUUGCAAUGCCCAGGCUUUUUUCUGUGGGUUUGACCAUGUAAACUAAGGUCUGUUCAUUUCUGGGGCAAGUACUUUACUGACAGCUAUUUCAUAACUCAAAGGUUGAUUUUUAUCUUUUUAAACAAUGGUCUCAAAAACUAUGAAACACCCAUUCUGUCAAUGCCAACCCAAUAUGUCCUAUUAAAUACUUGCUGAAUAGUUUUGGCUAUGUUGUUUUUGCUAUGGCAAAAGUGGAUAUAACUUCCCAAUUAUACUUACUUUCUCCUUGUAAAGUUAAGGCUUACAGUUCUAUAAAUCAUUCUGAAAGUCAUUUUUAUUAUUUUAAUUAUGAGGUGUGUAUGUGGGGGGAUGGGAGGGGGGAGAAGGAGUGCUAUGUGGAUAUUUGUGUAUAACUACAUUUUUUUUUGAAAUUCUUGGUUAAAACAAAAUCCAAUUGGUUAAAGGGGGAAAGUAUAGUGCAACCACAGAAAGGCCCUGAGUUCAGCUUCUGGUGCAGCAUGAUAAGAGCUCCAGUGAUCUGUCAGUUGGUGAUGAUGGCAGUAAAAAUAAAAACACCCCC
rnacentral:lncRNA from 1 species